UAGUACAGAAAACUCAUGCUUGUAUACA
rnacentral:sRNA from 1 species